AGAGUACAGGACAUUUUAUACUAUGUCCUCAGGUACUUGAUUUGUAUUUUUUUCCUUAAGUUUGAUAGCAUUUCCGAUAAAUAAUAGACUGAUGGGGCCCCACAACAUUACCCACACACUUCUCGGGGGCCACUGCACUGAAAACUCUUCUGAUUUGCAAUAAUAACAUUUACUCAUCAAACAAAUACAUCCUGAAGAAAUGUAAUAUUCUACCGUACAUAUUAUCGGUACUCUGAGAUGAAACAAAAUGUUUGUGUUACCAAGAGAGAUGACACAAAUUUGGGAAAAAUAAAAUCACAUACUACAGAUGAGAUGACACUAGAUAUAAAAUGAAACAGACUUGUACUUUCCAUAUACAUCACUCAUUAGUGACAUACGCUAUAUUGCCGGCUGUGUUACUGCAGCUCUAUGCGCCUUGUAAGCAUAAUAUGAAAUACACGUCAGUCUUUAUAACAGCGUUGUGCUGUGACAGCUUUGCACUUUUUCUUUCUGGUUUUGUAAUAUAAGCAAUUUCCUCCUCUUUAUAAGAGAUACAGAGCUAUUUUUUUUACCAGAGAUGCUGAAUAUUGAAAAUGCAUCCUCAUGUCUAAUAGGUAAGUAAAAGUUUUUUUCAUAUAGCGUACAAAUAUAUUUCCUGGGGUAGUAGAUUCUUAAAAGAUCUUAUUUCAGUGCUGAAUGCUGAAGCUGGGAGCUUGGCGUCAGGUUGGGAAGGAUUUUGCUUUGCUGUGCAUUGCACAUAUUAAGAUCUCUUUCAUCUGUUCCUUCUGGGUUCUACUGUUGCUUGUGGCUUAUUAGUAGAUACAGUAUAUGCUCUGUGUCCUACUUUAUCUGAGGUGAAGUCUCUCAUUUGCUUCUCUAAGGGACAAAUGAAUUGAUCUGCGAUAUUUCUAUGAGGAGAGUUUAGGAGCCUGGAGCAGGGAUGUUGGGAUCCUGACACCCGUCAAAAUGCAGACGGCGGAAUCCCGACAGGAUCAGGAGACUGAGGCCGGAAGCCCCACAGCCAUCAUCUUGACCGCUAAGACAGUACAGAGAAGCAAGAUCCUGAGAACAGAGGAUCCAUUGGGAAAUGCCAGUUCUACUUCAAGAAAAGACAUCAU